GUGGGGAAUAUUGCACAAUGGGGGAAACCCUGAUGCAGCGACGCCGCGUGAGUGAAGAAGUAUUUCGGUACGUAAAGCUCUAUCAGCAAGGAAGAAAAUGACGGUACUUGACUAAGAAGCCCCGGCUAACUACGUGCCAGCAGCCGCGGUAAUACGUAGGGGGCAAGCGUUAUCCGGAUUUACUGGGUGUAAAGGGAGCGUAGACGGUAUGGUAAGUCAGAUGUGAAAGCCCGGGGCUCAACCCCGGGACUGCAUUUGAAACUAUCAGACUAGAGUGCAGGAGAGGUAAGUGGAAUUCCUAGUGUAGCGGUGAAAUGCGUAGAGAUCGGGAGGAACACCAGUGGCGAAGGCGAUCUGCUGGACAGCAACUGACGCUGAGGCGCGAAAGCGUGGGGAGCAAACAGGAUUAGAUACCCGAGUAGUCC
rnacentral:rRNA from 1 species